GAUGAACGCUGGCGGCGUGCUUAACACAUGCAAGUCGGACGGGAAGUGGUUUUUCUUGUGGCGGGCUGGUGUGUAACGCGUAUGAAUCUCCCGUUGGUAGGGUAACCACAGCUGUAAACUGCUUCCAAUACCCCGUAGCUAGUGCCGCAUAGGGGGUAAUGCGCCGGAGGGGGGGCUCGCGUCUGACUAGCUAGUUGGUGAGGCAAUAGCUUACCCAGCCGAUGAUUAGUAGCUGGUCCGAGAGGAUGAUCAGCCACAGUGGGACUGAGAGACGGACCAGACUACUAGGGGAAGCAGCAGUGAGGAAUGUUCCGCAAUGGGCGAAAGCAUGACGGAGCAAUGCGGCGUGGAGGUAGGAGGCCGAGGGGUCGUGAACUUCUGUUCCCGAAGAAGAAGCAAUGACGGUAUCUGGUGAAUAAGCAUCGGCUAACUCUGUG
rnacentral:rRNA from 1 species